rnacentral:rRNA from 1 species
AGAUGGCGACCGGCGCACGGGUGCGUAACGCGUAUGCAACCUGCCUUGUACAGAGGGAUAGCCCAUGGAAACGUGGAUUAAUACCUCAUAGUAUCACUGAAUCGCAUGGUUUAGUGAUUAAAAUUUCGAUGGUACAAGAUGGGCAUGCGUAUGAUUAGGUAGUUGGUGAGGUAGCGGCUCACCAAGCCCACGAUCAUUAGGGGUUCUGAGAGGAUUAUCCCCCACACUGGUACUGAGACACGGACCAGACUCCUACGGGAGGCAGCAGUGAGGAAUAUUGGUCAAUGGACGCAAGUCUGAACCAGCCAUCCCGCGUGCAGGAUGACGGCCCUAUGGGUUGUAAACUGCUUUUGUAUACCAAGAAUGGUUAUUACGUGUAAUAAUUUGACGGUAGUAUAUGAAUAAGGACCGGCUAACUCCGUGCCAGCAGCC